rnacentral:tmRNA from 1 species
GGGGGCGACUUGGUUUCGACAUGGCAGGUUCAAGAUGGAGAGCAGGUCGUGGUCUCCUCGCCACGUUAAACAGGGGUACCGUCAAAUUUAAUUGACAAGAACACUUCUGGGCAGCUUGCCCUCGCCGCUUAAUUAACAUCGCGGCCGUCUAAGCGGGGUCCGCUCCCGGCCCCGUGGCGACGUCAUUUUCGGGAGAUGCAUUCAGGCACGUAACCGGUAUGGCCUGAAUAAAGACUGAACCGGUUGGGAACCGCAACGUCUGUCGAUGUACCGAGCGCGCCCGACACCAGAACACCGACUAAGCCUGUAGCGCUCUGUGGCGAAUCUGGUAUGGACGAGGGUUCGAUUCCCUCCGCCUCCACCA